rnacentral:rRNA from 1 species
AGCGAACGCUAGCGGCGGGCUUAACACAUGCAAGUCGAGCGCGUGGCUUCGGCCACGUGCGGCGAACGGGUGAGUAACACGUAGGUCAUCUGCCCUUUGGUGGGGAAUAACCCGAGGAAACUCGGGCUAAUACCGCAUACUGCCUUCGGGUCAAAGGCUUCGGCCGCCAGAGGAUGAGCCUGCGUCGCAUUACCUAGUUGGUGGGGUAAUGGCCCACCAAGGGGACGAUGCGUAGCUGGUCUGAGAGGAUGAUCAGCCACACUGGGACUGAGGCACGGCCCAGACUCCUACGGGGGGCAGCAGUGGGGAAUAUUGCGCAAUGGGGGAAACCCUGACGCAGCCACGCCGCGUGGGUGAUGAA